GAUGAACGCUGGCGGCGUGCCUAAUACAUGCCAGUCGAGCGAACAGAUGAGGAGCUUGCUCCUCUGACGUUAGCGGCGGACGGGUGAGUAACACGUGGAUAACCUACCUAUAAGACUGGGAUAACUUCGGGAAACCGGAGCUAAUACCGGAUAAUAUAUUGAACCGCAUGGUUCAAUAGUGAAAGACGGUUUUGCUGUCACUUAUAGAUGGAUCCGCGCCGCAUUAGCUAGUUGGUAAGGUAACGGCUUACCAAGGCAACGAUGCGUAGCCGACCUGAGAGGGUGAUCGGCCACACUGGAACCGAGACACGGUCCAGACUCCUACGGGAGGCAGCAGUAGGGAAUCUUCCGCAAUGGGCGAAAGCCUGACGGAGCAACGCCGCGUGAGUGAUGAAGGUCUUCGGAUCGUAAAACUCUGUUAUUAGGGAAGAACAAAUGUGUAAGUAACUAUGCACGUCUUGACGGUACCUAAUCAGAAAGCCACGGCUAACUACGUG
rnacentral:rRNA from 1 species